CAUGCAAGUCGAACGGUGAAGCAGAGCUUGCUCUGUGGAUCAGUGGCGAACGGGUGAGUAACACGUGAGCAACCUGCCCUGGACUCUGGGAUAAGCGCUGGAAACGGCGUCUAAUACUGGAUACGAGACGUGGCCGCAUGGUCAACGUUUGGAAAGAUUUUUUGGUUCAGGAUGGGCUCGCGGCCUAUCAGCUUGUUGGUGAGGUAAUGGCUCACCAAGGCGUCGACGGGUAGCCGGCCUGAGAGGGUGACCGGCCACACUGGGACUGAGACACGGCCCAGACUCCUACGGGAGGCAGCAGUGGGGAAUAUUGCACAAUGGGCGAAAGCCUGAUGCAGCAACGCCGCGUGAGGGAUGACGGCCUUCGGGUUGUAAACCUCUUUUAGCAAGGAAGAAGCGAAAGUGACGGUACUUGCAGAAAAAGCGCCGGCUAACUACGUGCCAGCAGCCGCGGUAAUACGUAGGGCGCAAGCGUUAUCCGGAAUUAUUGGGCGUAAAGAGCUCGUAGGCGGUUUGUCGCGUCUGCUGUGAAAACUGGAGGCUCAACCUCCAGCCUGCAGUGGGUACGGGCAGACUAGAGUGCGGUAGGGGAGAUUGGAAUUCCUGGUGUAGCGGUGGAAUGCGCAGAUAUCAGGAGGAACACCGAUGGCGAAGGCAGAUCUCUGGGCCGUAACUGACGCUGAGGAGCGAAAGGGUGGGGAGCAAACAGGCUUAGAUACCCUGGUAGUCCACCCCGUAAACGUUGGGAACUAGUUGUGGGGACCAUUCCACGGUUUCCGUGACGCAGCUAACGCAUUAAGUUCCCCGCCUGGGGAGUACGGCCGCAAGGCUAAAACUCAAAGGAAUUGACGGGGACCCGCACAAGCGGCGGAGCAUGCGGAUUAAUUCGAUGCAACGCGAAGAACCUUACCAAGGCUUGACAUAUACGAGAACGCUGCAGAAAUGUAGAACUCUUUGGACACUCGUAUACAGGUGGUGCAUGGUUGUCGUCAGCUCGUGUCGUGAGAUGUUGGGUUAAGUCCCGCAACGAGCGCAACCCUCGUUCUAUGUUGCCAGCACGUAAUGGUGGGAACUCAUGGGAUACUGCCGGGGUCAACUCGGAGGAAAGGUGGGGAUGACGUCAAAUCAUCAUG
rnacentral:rRNA from 1 species